rnacentral:rRNA from 1 species
CCUACGGGAGGCAGCAGUAGGGAAUAUUGCUCAAUGGGGGAAACCCUGAAGCAGCAACGCCGCGUGGAGGAUGAAGGCUUUCGGAUUGUAAACUCCUUUUGUUAGAGAAGAUAAUGACGGUAUCUAACGAAUAAGCACCGGCUAACUCCGUGCCAGCAGCCGCGGUAAUACGGAGGGUGCAAGCGUUACUCGGAAGCACUGGGCGUAAAGAGCGCGUAGACGGGUUAGCAAGUCAGAUGGUAAAUCCUACGGCUUAAACAUAGAACUGCAUUUGAAACUGUUAUUCUAGAGUAUGGGAGAGGUAGGUGGAAUUCUUGGGGUAGGGGUAAAAUCCGUAGAGAUCAAGAGGAAUACUCAUUGCGAAGGCGACCUACUAGAACAUAACUGACGCUGAUGCGCGAAAGCGUGGGGAGCAAACAGGAUUAGAUACCCUUGUAGUC